UUGAUUUCAGAAAAAGCUGAGGUUGCUUCAGCAACUUCAGAACAAGUGUGUUUGCUUAAAGCUGCUCCAAUGUGUCAUGCACGUGCAGCCUUGAAUUAAACAAAUCUGAAGAACUUAGUGCUGUAAAACUGCAGGAGGCUGCUUAGGAUAACAAGUAAAUCCAGAUUUAAAUGUUUAAACUUUUAAGUAUCUGAACUCUAGUGCAUAAAUGCGAAGCCCUGGAGAUAUUUUAGCCAGUUUGUGUGUAAGGUAAGGUGAUGUAGUUAAACCACAGCGUUUUCUUUGCAUUUUCAGUGCUGUAUUUUACUUCUGUCAAAAUCAAUUUCUGAGUCCUAUAACGUGUUUGUUUAAUUGCCUCAGCCUGUGCAAGGUCAUAAAAAGGUGUUCUCGCUAAAAAGGUGAACUGUAGGGAAGGCAAGAGAUGCUUUAGUUUGAGUAAUAUUGGAAAAAAAAAUGUUUAAUAAGGAGACGUCUGCAGCAUUUAGUAAAAGAUACAGCGUUAACCUUCAGAUAGCAGAAAUCUGUCAAGCUUGCUUAGAAAAUGCUGAGCGCUUACUUGCUGCAGUUUACUCUAGAUGCAUCUUUGUGUUUCAUACGUAGGUGGUUCUUGCCAGAGACAACUGGCGUUGAUAGCACUAAGUCAUUCUCUUCAUUGAGAUCACAGUGUUUGGGUGAAUCCUCAGUUCAUCUUGUGGCUUAUUAUGUGUGCAGUGGAGUUAAAUCCACAGUUAGACCAGGUUGCUCUGACUGGUCUGGGCUCUGAGCACCUGACAGAGCUGAGGGUGUCCCUGUUCUCUGCGGAGAGUUGGACCAGAUGGCCAUUAAGGGUCCCUACCAGCUCAAACAAUUCUAUGGUUCUGCGAUUCUAAAUGAGAAUGAGCUGAUCUGUCUGGGGCUGAGAGCAGCAGUGUGGUCUCAAGUGUAAUUCCACUGCAGAAACAGACAUUGCUGUCCAGCUUCGUGUUUGCCCUUAAAUUCCCACAUUUCUUAGUGUGUGAGUAAGAGAGCAGUGGAGGCAUAAGCUUUUAGCUAGGGGAGCUUUCCAGCAGCAGGCUCCCUGCUAUUGUAAGGCUUGAAACAGAGUGCGGAUUUGUCACCUCCCAGGGCAGUCAGAUAAAUGCAAGGACUGAAAAAGCCCCAAUCCGUUCUGGUCUAAUGAAAUGAUGCUUUGUCUGGAAGAAGGAGUAAAAUCACUUCCUAUUUAUCCACCUGCCUGCUGAGACUGAAAUUAACCUAAAGAGGUGCUUAAUGGCACCCAGUAAGCCAUUAGAUUAAUUAAACAUCCUUAUAACAUGUACUUUCUGGGAAAGCAUUUUUUCCUGUCUGCCAUGAACACUUAUGACACUGCACAAAUGGUAUAUAGUAAUAACUAUUGUGUCACUACUGGCGUGCUGCUGCUGCUUUUUUUUUUGGUAAGUGUUCUCUGCUAUAUAUACGUAAAUAUAUAAAAAUAAUAUUGGUGAGAUGAUAUGCAUAGUUGCAUUUUCAGGCUUUUCAAAGCAUGAAUCCCCUCGGUGCUUCCUUUUAACCACUUCAGUAAUGCUGCUGGCUGUAGAUGUGUCUCUGAUAGAAGCCCGUGUGGUUUAUCCGUGGCCACAUCCCUCUUAAUAACUUUUAUCCUUUUUCUUUUUUAUUUGCUUCCUACAAAUAAUCAGUCAUGUUUUUUUUUUAAUACAAAAAGACCACCACCAACAAAACCAUAAAAACUGUGUAAUUUGCAAUUAAUUUCUUUUUGUACUUUAUUCUCAAAUCUAGAGUGAUUUCGUAUGAAAGUGAUUUGGGUAAAGACUGUAGGACUAGAUCCCAUGCUUCCGUUCUCUCGUCCAUGCAGACAGUAGUAUAUUUCUUCCAAGGAGCAUGAUAGACUCGUUCUGUCGGUCUGAGUUUGGAAAGGAUGUCCAGCUUAGCUUAAGAAAAGCAGAAUCACAGAGAAGGACCUGUGCUUUCCAUCCAGUCGGGCACACUCAUCUUCAUGAAAGGAUAAUUCUGGGUCAGUAUUAGAUUACAAAAAGGAAACUUCAGCCAAAACAAGUAUGCUCAGAUACUUGCUGGUGCCAACAUAAGCAACCCAUUUCAGAAGCAGUGCCAGGCAUUCCUGGAGAUAACACAGCCAUCCCUACAGAUGCAUGGAAUUCAGUCCCUGGAGCAUAGCUGAAGCCUUCUGGAUAAAGGAAAUAGCAAGUCUGGUCUAGGAAACAAAACAGAAUACCCACUACUGAUAAGAAGGUACUGAAAGCAAAGCACAGGAUCCCAUGCAGGUGGCGUGCUGAAAUAGUUACCAGAUUUUCAUCAGAUGAUUUUGGAUCAUUUUGAAUUAGCAUACAGGAAUAUGUACUUGGGAUGGAAUAACCAGCUGAAGCUUUGUAUUAGGUAACGACUUAGCUGCAAUUACUGAACUAGUCCUGCCUACCCAAAACUCCUUCCUUUUGCUGGAUCCCCAGAAGUGGAGCAUGGGGAACUCAGUGACAAAUCCUCCAUUUUUAUGUGGAAGUUAAAAGAAAAAGAAAAAGCCAUUAACUUUUUGGAAAUGAUAAAUUGUUGAAUUCAAACUAAUUGGCUGUUAUACUGUAGCAGGUUUACAGAUUCCCACUGUGAUACAAAAGCUGAAAGUAUUUUUCCUUCAGCUGGUUAAUGUAUUCAGAGUUUUUUUAACUAGGGCUGGAAGUGAUGAAAACAUGUCAUUUUUCUGACAUGUAUUCUCAACCAAGAGCUCUUUACUUGUCUUUUGCAAGUACAAUAGACUGUCUAUAAUAAUAUCUCAGCUCUAGCAGUGGUAUUUUUGAAGCAGAUUCUCAUGUUAGUCAUCAACUCCUGCUCAUAUUAGUAAGCCUCAGAUAUACCAAUAUCUCAUUGAAGGUGCUGAGAUUUUUCAUGGCAUAGGCACUCUGACAUGAAUUGGAGCUGCAUAUUACAGUCCUUUGUGUUGAGAUCUAUGCUCAAGGCAGAAUGAAAAUACUCCCAAAGAACGUAGCAAAAGGAAAUUGCCACGUUCUGUGGGUAGCAUUUAUGGUGCAUUUGGGAAUGGCUGCCAUAUGAACUCCAGCUUCUCUGGGCUUUGACACAGCCAAAGACAUUUGUUCUGGGAUAUGAAAGUGUUUUUGUCAUUUAUCUUUUUAUCUUUAACAGGAACUAGAUUCUAGCUUUUGUUUUUGUGUUUGUUUUGUUUUAAAUGAAAACCAACCAACCAAGGAACUCAGAACUUACUGUUCUGUGAAUGAUUUCAAAAACAUAUUAUGAUUGCAUAGCUGUUCAUGGGGUAAACUGGAGCACUUAGACAUCUUAGAGAUGAUGACAUAUUUAGAGCACUAUUUGGCAUUGUGGAUGGGUAAAAUACAAAGAGCUAUUGAUAUGGCAAUUAUACUAACAUACAAGUUGUUCAAUGUGUAGAAUCAAAGCACUGUUGUAGUGCUUGGUAUCCUUGCCCUUAAGUUUUGCAGCCCACACUGUUGUGCUCAAGUAGGCUGUCCCCAUCCCUCGUAGAUGCUGCUGAGCUGCAGCCAGCUCGGGACCUUGUUCUGCCAACACCACUGAGCAGUGUUCAAUGCUGGGUUCCUGUGGCUCUGACAGCACAGCCCUCCAUCCGAAUCCACAGCACAACAUCUGUAUGUCCUCUGACAGUGCCACAGGCAGAUGAAUUCUGACAUUUUGUUUGUGAAAUGCUUUGAAUUGCCUCAGAGAGACGAGAUCCUGCUGCGGCAGACACAAGUAUUUUAGAGAUCUUUUCCUGGCCUGUGUAGCUGCAGGACAGUUGUCGUGGUUACGGCUGUAGAUGCUGAGCCUGUGUGUUUGCAGCAAUUUGCCAUACUUGCUGCAAAUAGUGCUGCAUGUGAUAUAUGUGGAAGGGAAGUAGUUUGGUGUCUGUACAGUAAACUGAUAUUUUCAGGUACUGUCAGUUGAUCUUUUUCCCUCUGAGCGUGGAUUUACAUACCUACAGAUACAGCAGUGACAAAUUAUUUUCUAGAAAUGUUCAUCUUCCAGAUGAGACCACUGUGGAAAUUAUUCAAGGCGUUUAAAACAGGGUUUUUUUUUCUUUUUUGAAAGAAAGCUGACAUAAUGGAGAGGGUUCACUGCUGGGCUGCAAACAUUACUCAAGGUUUGCAAAACCUGCCAUUUAUUUAGCGAUUGAAUUGGUUCACUCUUCUUUAAAAUAAAACUAAGUGAUAUUAGCCUGCAAAUACUUGUUUUGUCCUUUCCAGUGGUGUACCGCUUCUUUCUCUCUCACACAAAGAUCAAAAAAGCAUGCUUUGUGCCUAAAGAUAAGAAACUAAUUGGACAGUCAAGUGACCAAAAGCAGAAUGGGUUCUUAAAGCCAUUAAGUCAAGACCAUUGACUUCCUAAAAAGGAGAAUUUAGCUCAGCCAAAGCUUGAUCCAGUGAAACUUGCCACCAGGAUAUCCAGCAGAUCAGUCUGAAGGAGGAAGUAUGAGAAUGACUCUUUCUGCCCUUGUAAUUUCUGGGAUUACAGAGAGAUAGAUUGAUGGCAGAGAGCAGAGUUUAUGUAGAACAGAAUAAAGGCUUCAAGGCCAAAGUGGAUUCCUUAACAGCAAUUAAAGCCUUGCUGCUUUUCAGGUCAGACUUCUCAGUUAAUCGUGCUGGGGUCAUUGUUAAUGCCAGCCAAGCAUAGCAGAACACAUAACACCAACUCUAAACCACCUUCGGCAAGAAUGGAUGGUGUGACUCAUCUGCCUUCUGUGUCGAUUAGGAAGUUGAUAUUCCUUCCCAGAACCACACAGCUCCUGCUCUGCUGUGCAGAAGUGCACCUCAGUCUCCAUACCUAACAAAUCGAAGGCUCUUCUUGUUUCACAGAGCAUCAGUCGACGUCCUGCCCUCGCUCUCUAAAUUUCUCCCAAGCCUUGCAAGCACCAGAAGUACGAGCGCCAGAUCCUCUCAUCUCCUUCCCUCCCUUGACCUCACCUCUGUGUCCCACACCUCUCCAGGCAGCCCAUGCACGCUCCUGAGGAAGAAUGUGGCCAAUAUACUGCCAAGUGCCGCUAAAUGGAAGGAGGCAGAGGAUAACAGAAAAUCAAAAAGACUGGAGGAAGAUUUCUUCCUGAUGCUGUAAUCUCAUGCUGCUGUUUAUCUCCACCUGUGACUUUGCUUAUUCCUUCGUCCCUCUAUAAAUCACUGCAGCUGGUGGUGCAUUCACCCAACCUUUCUGCCAGGAUGGUGUCAAAACUCUUCCCAUCAGACACCUGAACUGGUCAAUUCCUACUGCUAAACACCACUAUUUUGAAGAAGGAAAACUGAAGUGAAAGCAAAUUUCAAAGGUACUCAAGACUUGUGUGAUACGGCGCUGAGCUCUGUGCUCACACAAAGAGCUGUUGGUUUUAGGCAUGCUAAAUGAAACACAUUUUACAUCUGCAGCAGAGUAAGAAAAAGUCUCGUUUCUUUUGCCUGAACAAAAGGCAAAGCAUAUAGCAGCUGCUGUUCUUGUAGUAAAGAUUUCAAAACUGAAUGGCAGUGCUCUCUCACUCCUAUUCAUUUGACAUUCAGCUUUCAGAUUGUGAUGUUCACUGUCAUAUUUAUCACUUAACUAUGAUGGGCUGUUUGGGGUGACAGUUAUGGAUGGAAGCAGCCACAGUUCUCACCACCUUUCCAGAUCCAUUUUAAGUGGUUUCUGCUCCAUCAUCACUAAGAGCUGAUGCUGCUAUUCCCAUAGUUGGGAGAUUAGAAGCAAUGUAUGAAUUCAGGCCUUUCUCCUUCCUGUGGUUGCCCUAUGGUCAGGCAGAGGAGACUUUCCCACUCUUUCAACCACUGCUGGUGAAAUGAGCCCCACAGUACGUGAUCGAGAGAACUGACUUCGAGCUUUGAUAGUUAUAAAUAGUAGGCACUGUAAUUGUCUAGCAGUUCUCCUGCAAAGAAGAGGUAAUUGUGUGGAUGAAUAAAAUAUUGGCAUUAAAAAAACAUUUUAAGCUUAAUCUCAAAGUAGCUGAUGAAGUAUUUCUAUGGCAGACCUGUCAGCUCACGUGCUCUCAGUGGUAGCUUCUCAUGCUUGGUUGGCUCUUUUGUAAGAAGAGAAAAAGAAUUAAAAAGAAAAAAACAAAAAUGAAACACACCAGAAACACAUGCACAGUACAGAAUGCACACACAACGAAACAGCAAAAUAAUCCUGAAAAUCAAAUGUGUGCAAUUGGAGAAGGCCUUCUGUACUUCUCCAUGUUACCCCUCAUGGGGAAGUUCCCAGCCCUGCCACUCAGGCAGACCCAGUGGAGGAGCUUUUUUCUCUGGGUGCCCAUCCCCAGCCUCACUGUACCUGACAACUUCAUGGUUCAGCCUGUUUCUUCUCCAGGGGGCAGAGCCAUGCUGCCUUCCCCUUCUGCAGGGACGAAGCUUGGGCUUCCAUUACACUGUGCUCUUGGAGAGACCGUCAGCUCAAACUGAUCUACAGCCUACCUGUGGGAUAGCCUUCAGCUUCCAGGCAGAGCAAAGCAGCCAGAGCACACCUGGGAGGGGGAGGAUCCUGAAAACUGCUGCUUAUGGGGUGGCAUCAGAUUACGACCAGUUCCUAGGAUUUGGCUCAGAGAUACAGAGGAAAGCAGGGAGGUGGGCUGGCUCCUCCAUCCUGGACCAAAAGUUUGAUGCAGGGAUUGGGUCUCCUCCCACUGCAUCAAUGCAUAGGAUGAGGGGAGGAGGAAGGAAAAGUGACUGGCAUUUUGAGAUCACUGAUAACCUUCAUGAGGCAUUAGUUUUAUUUAAUACAGAGUGUCAUGUUGGGUCCAGUAUUUCAGGGACCGAUUUAAGAUUUAACAGCAAUUCACAACACUAACAUCAGCCAAAGCAUUUCUGUUUGCAUUUUAGUUCUCCAGCAGAAGGAUGACAGCACUGAAGAUUAAAGCUUUUUUUUUUACCCCUCCUUAAGAUCUCAGCAAAGUGCAGAUUUGAAACACAGAAAGAGGUUGACCUUCGUAUUAACCUGAAUCUCUUUUCCUGUUUCUUCUUGAAUAUAUUUUAUUCUCUUUAUGCACAGUGGGGCUCUUUUUUUCUUGUGUGAGGCUGUUGAAUGAAAUGCCAGAAAGAUGGAGUGUGCACUUUUACAUCAAAGAAAUGAUGAGACCAUAAAAACUCAUUUCCCUUGUGACUUCUUAAAUUGUUGCUAAGGAAUUGAAUGAGUCUGUUUGAAACAAUGUGUCCCUUUAAAUUCUGUUUUCUUAUUUGUCUUAAAACACAAAGCCACAGUUUCUUGUAGACCCUGAUUCAAAGGCCACUCACUGAAGUCAAUAAAGGUUUCUUAGUCACUGUGUUUAGAUGUAGGUCAGAUUUUUCAAGUAUUCCACUAUGUAGAACCCAGGCAGACUGAUUUCAAAAGUUCUGGCUAUUCACAGAAAGAAAGUAAAAGGUCUAGUUUGUUUUUGUUCAUUCAGGUGGUUAAAAACGUCCCCUUCAAAUGGGCCAGAAUUGAGUCAACUGUCAACUGCUGAGCAGAACAAAUCUGACAGGGGCAAGUAAAAUGAAGCAGUAGUUAAAUUCAGAAAUCCAAAGAAGUAAAAAUGUUGAUUUACUUUAGUUUUUCUCAUGCACAGUGGUGACGUGCAGUAGAAGCACAAACAAAGCCCACGGUUCAGACUGUUGGAGGGAAACCCUGCCUAUUUCUGUGUAACAGUUUUGGGCAAUCACUCUCGCUGCUGGGGUGAAUGGUUUGUUAGUACUAUAACCCAGUGAGUUGCUAGAAAUGGUCUUGAUUGGAGAGCAUUGUAAAGCAAUUAAGUUCUGACUAUUAACAAAGCUCCCACAGAGAGCAUUAAUUUUUGAAAGUAGACAAAGUCUGCGCUACGACUUUCUAGUGACUGUGUGGAAGUGUGACCAGAGUGAAAUAUGGAAACUGCUACAGUAAGUCUCAACUGUUGUAGAUAUUCCUUAUCAGUUUCCAGGAAAGGGUUUUAAAGUUCCAAUUUAGAAAAGCAUUUAAAUGUAUUCUGAAAUUUAUUUCAAUUUAAUUGGAUACAGGUUUAACAAAUUGCUAAGUUUUUGCAUAAUAAGUAGCAAUUUAAGUAUCUUCUUAUAGAGCUGGUUUGGAUUUCAUCUAAAUAUCCUUUUCUCGGAAUUGGAGCCUUAGUCAUCUGAACUGUAAUGGGAUUUUCUGGGUCUAAAAUCCAGAAAAUGCCACUUUGCUCUCAGACCCAAGUCAGUCAUCUUCAUCUAUGAGAUACCCAUAUUGUGUGCACAUGUUCCUUUCCAGAACUCCAGCCGCCUGAGCUCUUUAACUUACUGUUUGUUUCUCUCUGCAAAGGCGUAUGAUAUUUUAAGCAGGUAACUUAACAGUGGUUCAAAAUAGUGAUUUCUUGUGUUAGUCAGUGUAAGAAAAAUCAUAGAAUCAAUCAUAGAGAAAUGCCAUGCUGAAGAUGCUAAAACCCCAGAAUGGAGGUCUCCAUCUCUGAUCGUUCUCAGAGGUUGAAAUUGCAGUUCGUCAUCUUCCCAUCUUUUGUACCCAAUUUCUGGUUGCUCUGCUCUGUUUUAUGCCUUGAAAAGGACAUUUGCUUUAAUGGUCCCAUGCUGGGAUUUCAGAACGAUGGGGAAACAUUGCUACCAGUAAAAUAUGUGGAACUAUUUUCAAAACGUUGGCGUGAGCCAACAGGACCUAUCAAAGCCUUUGCAAAAGCAUAAAACCAACUUCUCAGAUUACAUUGUUUAUAAUUUCUCUUGGGUUAUUUCCCAAUAACACAGAAAACGUGUGACUGUUUUUGUAUCUGAAAGGAGUUUGGCCGAUGCUGAGGUGGGAGUACAGGAUCUUUACCAAACAAGGCUCCAUGUCGUGAUGGGCAGUCUUUAGGACUCUGAGUAACUGAAUGCUUGUAGCACUUCACUUUCUGAAGAUAGAUGAAGCGUCUUCUGAAUUACAUGUGGUUUUUUUAUGUUUUGUUGUCUUGUUUUUCUUCUUGUAGUGUAAUUCUGAACCACAUGAUCAAGCCAGGUGUUAUUCCAUGCUACUGCUUCUGAAAAUGCAGAUGCAGCAGAUGCAGGCAUACGGGUUCAGUGAAUCAGGAACAGAUAAGUGUCAACUUUCCUCUGUGGUUGUGGUUGCAAAGACCCUUGUGCUGAACGAUUAUUCUCUAGUGUUUAGAAAGGAACAGUUUGAUUAUAGCAGUACUUUGUUUAAAAAAAAUUCUUGAAAACUACACUGAAAGUGGAUAUUUUCUGCUAUUACUUAAAACUCAGUGUUGGUUGCAAAGCCAAAGAAAACAGGUCCCCAUGUUCAAUAGCCAUACCUAAUACACUGUUGUGUUAGAUACCACAAUCCUAAUUCCAUAAGAUGGUGUUCUUGGAAACAGCAGAAAAUCAGCAUGGAAUAGAAAAAAUUUCCUCCAUUGUAAAACCAGUCGUUUGCAUUUUUAACGUGCCACCUUUCUAGUUUUUCUUCUUCUAUUGGGAAGAAGUUCAUAACAAGUUCACUCAUUUUAAUCUAAGGAAAAUGAACAGACCUCCCAGAGUUGAAAACCCGCUGUACAAACAGCAAAAUUAUUCUGACUUCCAGGAGUAAUUUAAUUAGAAGGAUUCUUCAGAGUGGCUUUUUUUUUUUUUUUUUUUUCAUUAGAAAAUGUGGUGUUUUUCACGCCGUACAGCACAAAACCUUUCGCAUUUUUGUAAAGUGUAAUAAAAUAAUCACUGGGAAUUUCUGGAUCUUUCUCUAUAGGAGUUGCUACCCAUUUUUCUUUUUAAGCUAAUUUAAGGGACAGAGUAGCUCAAUAAUUUGUUUUUCUGCUUAAAAAGGUGACUUUGAAGAAGAGUGACAUGAUAAACCUUCCACAGUGAUUAUGGAAAAUAUUGUUUCUGCUAUUUAUGAAAUACACUGUGAUGCUCUUUUGAUUAAAAAUGAAGAUGAAAAUCUUUCAAAGCCUUUGAGACAAAAUUAUUUCAGCAAACAAAGAAUGAGAAGAGUAUCUGGUAGUGGUGUGGACUUCUGCAUGGUCUUGAAUAUGUGCUGCUCUAUGGAAGAACCAUUUCCAGAAGUGGCAUUUGUCCCCACAGACUUUUUAUGUCCAGGUGUUUCACUUAUCUGUAGUUCCACUUAUGUUUUCUUUUCUUUUCUUUCAACUAAUGUCCAGGACAAGUUAAAGUGAAUCCUACAUUCACUGGCUGACUAGGUGCUAAUUGCUAACAUCAGUUCUGAACCUGAGACAGAUAUUAGCUCCAUGUGCAAUUAGCACACUGAUGUACAGAGGAACUGAGAUCCCAAGAUGAAAACCAGAAGAAUGAGGUGCUGUACUGUCAUUUUGGAAGACAGUACCCCGGUUUCACUACUUGUAGUUACAGAACAUCAUUAGCUUUUGAAAAUGAACAGGAAAAUCUGCUAUUAGUGUUCCUUCCUGCUGUUAUGCAGCAUGAGGGGUUCUCAGUGUCUAUGCUUGUACUUUGUUGCUCUUGUUGAAACAUCCCUUUCUUGAAGAGAUCAUUUAGGACUGGGAAGACCAGAGACUCUGGGAAUGAUAUUCUAACAGAGUUAGAAAAUGCCAGAAUGUUACUGACCUCAAUGUGGAUUACAUUUCUGAAGUAGUUUGGGACAUUCUCUUGCCACCUGUAGUUGUAUAGUUUGUAUUUCAGAAUUAGGGAGGUUAACAGUAAAGGAGCGAUACAAUUCAUCUAAAGAGUGAUGUAGAGAAUUGUAAGGAAAUUACAACUUUUGUUGAGUUCUUUACCGACAUUUAUUGACUUCAUUUCUGCUUAACGCUACAGCUGACACCAAGCCCAGCCCUUUGUUUGCAGGACAGUAGAUUUAAGUGCUCACUAAAACAAGAAGUCUGUGGAAUAAUUAAAUAAUGAGUAUUUUUAACAAGUGUCCUUUGAAAACAUCUCAAGGUAAUGUUGAAAGAAAAUAAAACAAAAAAGCAAACAAUAGGAAGAACUGAAAAUCAUUUGCAUAGAAAUGAUCACAUUCCAUCAUGAUGUCCUAAUUUGUGCCUAUGUUUUAGGAUGUUUAUGGUGAUUCCAGGGCUGAUUACCAUAUUAAUGUCAUGAAAAUAAUAAAAAUGUACUGAUUUAGUGCAUUACUCCCUUAAACCAGUCAUAAGAAAAGAUUUACCUUAGUUAUUCUGUGGUAAAAGUUAUAUUACUCAUUUUCUUCAUCUUCAGUGCAUGUGGUAACACAGAAAUAUCACUUUGCAAAGUGCUUUAUAUCAAGGAAAUUCCAGACCACAACAAAGGAGUGCAUGUUAAAAUCAUGAGAAAUGUAGUUUGAGGUGAUUCAUGAAAGAAAUAAUCAGUGUUUAUGAAUGCUAAAAUGUGUUACUCAACUAUGCGCCAGUAAAUUAUGCCUAUGCGUAAAAAGGGAGCAGGCUUAACACUGUGACUAGGAAAGCUUUACUGUAGUCAGAUUUGCUACUAUUGGACUGAAAAAAAAAAAUAGUAAGGGAAAGAGAAGUUAAAUAAUAAACUUAAUUUUGCUUUGGAAUCAACUACUUCUCAGUAAGAUGGUGAAACUGAAAAUGGCUUUAGGAGCACAGAUGUGAGAGAUGAUAGGGACCAGUCAGAGGUCUAGAAAGCACGGGCUCUGAAGAAAGACUUUAUGAACUGGGAUUCUUUUAGAUUAAAAAAAGAGAAGGCAAGGGCUAGGUGACUUCACUUUCAGUUUUAUAUUUUUAUGGUAAUAAAAGGAAUUGAAAGAGAGUCACUGCACCCAAAGUCAAAAGCCUUUCAGACAAUGAAAAUUAUUCCUUUGUAAAAGUUGAACCAUCACCCAUCCUACAGACUUAUGUAAAGAAACAAGGAGACAUCAGUGUCCUUUCACUGCCAGAACGGGCAGGGAAGCAUCUCACAUGGGUUGGCAGGACUUUGUUUAUAUGCAGGAAAGGGGAGUGCUGACUCUCUUGGAAGAAUCUGCCAUUGUAUUAUUUUAUUUAUAAAUAUUUAGCUAAUAGAUCAGCUGUUUGGCAAUACUGGAUAUAUACCAUUGGAAAUGGUAUUAAGCAAGCAAAUAAAUAACUGGUUUUAAACUGUGGGUGGUAAACGCGUUUACAAAAACCUUCACAAGGAGCACCUGGCAACCUCAGCAGGUCCUGUCAGUGUAACUUGCUCGUGAAACACCCAAUCAAUCAUGCACAUGAGCUACAUGCCAUAUGGUCAUAUGCUUUUCACUAGGAUGAUAAAUGAUAUUCUAGGUUAUGAAAGCCAUCUUUAUAAAAUGGAAACAACUCCUGCAAACAAUCAAACUGAUGGAGGAAAAUGAAGUGAUACAAACUAACUGGAAAAUUCACUGAUCUCCAAAGAGUUCACAAUAAUUUACACAAGUUGUUCUUAUACUUUGUUUACAGUUGUACAGAGAGAGACCUUUUCUUCUCAGGGGCCAGAAGGGGUAUUGCAUACACGAUGUGAGAAUGGACAGGCAGAGAAGAGAGAAGAUGGAUGGAAGAGUGGAUGCAUUACAAAGGCUGUUCAAGGUUUGGAAAGUAAAGGAAAGUAAAGAGAAUCAUGUGAGUAGCCCAUACAGGAGAUCAGCAAGGAAACCAAGGAGUCCAGCUUCUUGGUGCCUUGUCUGCUGUUUCAUCUUGGUCAUAGUUCCUCAAAAAAAACCCCUGUUUAUCAUCAGUUUUUUCUUAACUGUGCUUAUCCAUGUAGAUUGCUACUCUGCCUCCGCACUUCCGUCUUGCCUAAUGUAACAGGGAGUUAGCUGUACAGCAGGCUUUAAAUAGAUGCUUUUUCAGACGGUGCUCACAUUUAGUUCAUUUUUUAAACAUAGCAGGAACACCGAACAUGUGAAAUUGUUAAUAUUCUCAGUUGAUUAGAUGGAAGAAACAUCCCAAAGGUUACUUGUUCUAUUUUUUGAGAAAUUACAGUGAUGCACUUUUUCUUCUGGACAAUUGCUAUAAAGACUUGCAUAAAUCUGGCACAUUUAUUCUUCUAUUUUUUUAAUUUUAUUCUUGAGAUUCUGCUUGGGAAGGAGUAGUUUUAAAAAUUCAUUAUUAUUUGAUUGCAAGUUGGAUGUCAGCCAGCUAAAUUUUUGAAUUUGAAAGAAAAUGCAGCAUCAGCUUCUCUGGAACUAUAAUGGAAUGAAACCCUCCAAGCACUCAUUAAAAGGGCAUCUGACGUCUAGCAAAAUUAGAUGAGGUGUAAAUCACUGAAAUACCAAAUGUGGAUUUGAAAUGGAAUAUUUAAUUCUGGAGAGCUGAAACCUAAGGCAAAGGGGAAAUUUAACUACACCAGCACAAUAUUUUGAUGAUGGAAGGAGUAGCACCAUUUCAAAGGUUUUAUGUUUAAUUUAAAAAAAAUGUUUUUUGAGGGAAUCUCCAUUGGUGUUUCAGUUGCUAUUUGGCAUACAGACAAGUGGUUGAGGAGCACAACAAAGGCACAAUAGUAACUUUACUCCAUGAACGUCUUCUAAGUGAUUUGCAAAUAUUAUUGGAAAAAUCUGAUUGUAGAGGCCUGAUAGCAAUAAGCAUUUCUUCCCUUAUCUUCCUCCUGAUUGUUUCACAUUAGGAAAGUUUGCUAUUGCUCGGUCACUUUAGGACACAUUCAGUUCCAAUGUAGAAACAGAAGAGAUCGAGGGCUAUGAAGCAACUUGCUUUCAAUUUUCCCCUUAUUCAAAAUGCAACUGAAAGACACCAUUUUUUUCAAUAACAUAACAUUGUUAGCAGUAGUAAAUAUUUCUACUCCUGCUGUUUCUUCUGACCAUUGUUGGGAUUGAGGCUUCAUUAUUCUGAUGCCAUGCAAGUUUCAAAGAAAGAAUGUCUGCCCUGAAGUGUUUGUACACUUGGAGUGCAAUCAGGAAUAAUGAAAGGGAUGUGGAUGCAUCACAUGAACAAAUAAAUACGGAGAACUGAUCCCACUUUGUUAUACACGAAGGUUUUUUCAUAAUUGUUAUAUUUAAGGAAUUCAAUACUGAUCCCUUUUCGCUCAUGAUUUGGGAUACUAUAUAGUUUAUCAUAUGUUUUUCCAGUAUUUUAUGUCAUCAGGUUGUGAUUCAGUAUGGUGUUGCCUUUAUGAAAGCAGGCAAGGAUUCAUUUCACUUGCAGCACAAAUGUAACUUCCCUAAGAUGAAAACCAAUUUAAAUGGAAAAACAUUUGUUUUCUUGCUGAUAUUACAUAUAGGAAUGGAAUACUUCUAUACAGCAAUAUACUUCAUUGUCAUGGGAUAGAUGAACAGAUUUGGAUUCCUCAAAGAGAGAUUUGUUUCAAGCCAGACAAGGUGGGACUCAGGAAUUGCAUUUUAAGAAGAAUCACUUUGAAGGCAAGAAAGAGGUCACGUGAGGAAACAAGCACUUGAGGAAAUCUUAUGCAGUUUAAAAUUGAUUGAGUUACAAAUAAAGACAUUCUUCAGAAAAGGAAUGAGCUUUGAAAGACUCAGGGUAUGCAGCACUGUGCUGAGAAUAAGGAAGAGAUAUGGUCCUGUUUCAUUGUUCUCUGGAGUGGGGAAGCGGAGCAGUGGGAGUGUGUUGGGAUCAAAGGAUGGCUGGUAAUUUAUUUUGUGUCCUUUUCUACAGUUACUUUGAUAUCCAGCAUAAGCUGAAAUGAAUAACGUUCAUUUCUUGAGGAAAAUAUGGUGCAUUUGAAAACCAGUGUUCAAAUGAGCAAUAAUCCAGUCUGGCUUCCUUUGUGUUAUCCAAAGCAGCAGCGUCUUCAGCUUGAGAUAAGGGUAGGGAGACUGCUUAAUUUCAAAGGUUUUCACUUUUAUCUUAGACUGGGAAAUCUGAAUACUUUAAUGGGUUUAGGUUUUAAUUUAAUUCCAGGUUGCUCAUCAUUUCACCUUUCAGCUGGGCUAUAGAGAUAAUUCAAUCAUAUUUCCCUUGACAAGCCAUCUGAAUUAUGCUUAUAUUUCUCUGUGGAUGUGAAAAUCUGCCACCACAAUUGAGUGCAUGACAGACUCUUCUGCCUUCCUUCCUUCUUUCUUCCUUAAUUUUGAGUUUGUUCUGCUCUUGCUCCAUAAUGCAGAUGUCCUCUGACACAGGCACAUGAAAGACAGACCUUGUACUUCUGCAUAGACACGAUGCCAAAAGUUUCAGAAGUAAGGCCAGAGAGCAGUCGUCAGGAAACAAAAAGAUCCAAUAUGAACAAACAGCAUAUUUUGGGUAGUCUGGGGAUUGUGUGGGCUCAACUUCUGCCCAGAGUUCACAUGCUUUUCCUCCUCCAUGACCGUUUUUUACAGAGACUUUACAUUUUGUUUCCCCAGACCUAUCCCCUUGCUAUCCAGCAGUACAUAAUCAGCUCUUAUGACUAAAAUAUGUGAAAACGGAGAAGGAUUCUCUGGUCUGAUUCUUGAACCCAAAAGGCUGAUCAGGAAAGACACAAGCAAGAGGUAACAGUUUCUUAAAUUCAGGUUUCUCUGUUAGACUUUACACAUUAAUUUUGUGUUUAAAAGGUCUUUUCUUGAAGGUACCCUAACCAAACUCAGCAUUUCACAUAUCUGUGUGAACGCAUACUAAAAUGAAUCACAUUUCCACAGUCAGAUAAGGUCCAUCUUUCUACCUUUUUUUCACUGCUCAUCUGUCUUUUAAAGUGGCUAAACAUGAUAAAUGCAUUCAAUUUCAUCCCCUCUGUGUUAUGUUAACCCCGAAGGUCACAACAUUGAGAACUACUCUGGAGUGAACCAGCGCUGAACUACACUGUGCUUUAAUGACUUUUAAGGUUUCCAGGUAAGAACAGCUAUCAUCAUCCCACAGAGACAUUUCUACCUUCUUUUCUAUUUAGAGCUAACUCUUCUAUUAGCAUGUUCCAGCUGAGUCAAAGAGGCAUCAAAGGCACUUAAGGCCCUUUUCCUUCAAGACCCAGGCUGUAAUACCUGAGAAGUUUAUCCUCUUUAAUUGCAGACCACACAAACCUGCUGAAAGCUCAGUCUGACACUCCCCUGUGCAUGACAGGCUGUCAUUCUCCUGGAAUAAUUUCCUGACAUUCUUCAGAGAGAUGUGGACAUUCAUUUUUUGCCCUCACAGGAAGCAUCCACAUUGCAUGCUAUUUAUAAAACUGUCAUUCAUUUUGUAACAGGCAGGUGUUCACACACAAACCUGGACAUGAAACAGCCUUUUUAUUCAAGGCAUUUUUGGCACUUUAUUGAAGAUAGGCCCUCCCAGAUGGAGAAUUAAAAUCAGGAUCUCAGUUCUUUUCUAUAGGCAGCUUCUAGAAUGGAUGUCUGUGUAGGUAAGAGGGUGUAAGUAAAAAAACAACAGACCCUAAAACAACUACAAAACUUAAAAUGUGUGCUAAUGUGCAUAUGUGUGCUCAUGUAUGUUUACACUGAGACAAAUCUCCAAAUGACAACUUAUUAGGAUUGAAUAUUUUGUUUAAUUUCUUUUAGUAUAGGAUAACUUCCAACUGCUCUUAGAUUACCAAAAAGACACUGUCUUUUUUGAAGGUCAACAUGGAAGAUAAAGAGAAGACAGGUCAAAUUCUGAAAAUCGUGGAAGAAAAGUAGUUAAGCUGACAAAAAUGAGAAAGGAUGUGAACACAUAAGGUCAGAAUGAAAACCUAAGUUAAAACUUAAUAACUUGUCUUGCGUCAUAGUAGCUCUUCGGUCAAUAAAUUAUCCAGACAAAGUUUAUUACAAAUUAUUCUUUUCAGUGCAAUUAGACAUUUGAAAUAUUUGAACAGAUGGGAAGAGUUUCAGCUCAAAUGAUGAUUCUUCUCACUUUGCUUUCCGGGAAAUGAUAAAACAUUCUUCCCAUAGCCUGGAAAAAAAGAGGGAUUGAGAGAACACACAGAAGCAUAAAAUACAGUGAACUGAAUUAUGCAGCCAUGUAAUAAAAAAAUGUUGUGAAACAAGAAUACUCUGCUUCCACAGUGUUUCAGUGGCAUUCUUUGAACCUUUCUAUUCUUAGACAUUCUUGUAGCCUGAAGAUAUUCGUCAUCGUGGCAUAACUAAAUGAUUUGUUUUUAUUGGUACAAUCAAUCCACAUUAUUACCUUUGACUACAUGGUUCUCUAUCUUGAUUCUGACAUACGGCUAAUAACUUUUAUGAUGAAAUCACAGAAGUGCUCCAUGGGAUGUAAUUGAAAAUUGUGCUCUGUAGUUUUGUUUUGAACUUCUUUUAAUGUUUAGUAUAGCCAUGUGCAACCUUGAUGGAAGUAAACUGUGAUACAUGGAAUUAAUUUUAACAGGAUAGAUGUAUGCCUCAUCUUGUAAUGAUGGUAAGCAGUUGCAGUUACCACAGCUGGAAGGGGCACCUCUGACACUGAAGCUCCACUGCCAUUCUCUGAUUUGAGCUUUUGAAAUCACACUUUUGGAAAACAUAGAGAAGUAAAGCAUUAAUACAAAUGAAUUUGGAGAGUAAAAAGAGUCAAAUCCAAGGAACAAGCCAUUGUGAUGUGGCGAAAUCCUUGUGGAAAACAGCGGUCUGCUGAUAUGUACCACUAUAGAAGUUAUUACUAUUUCCAGCACAGAUCUGUCCCAUUUGAACUGAAUGCAAAUAUUAUCAUGCCACUUGUGACUCAUUCUGUGCUUCAGCAUUUUUAAAUGUUAUUCUGCUUUUCUUGUGCUAUUUCGUUAUACUUACCAUCAUAUAUGUGCCCUUUUUUUCCUGCUUUUUAUGAUUUUCUUUUAGAUUUUCAGAUUGUUAAGCUGUUCUUGAUGCAAUCAUGUUAAUUUUUGAUGUACUUCUAAUCUUUCCUCCAUGUUAGGAUAAUUUGCUGUUGUGCCUUUAUCUUGUGUGUUUCUUUUUCCUUAUCUCUUCUCAGAUACUUGCGUUUCCCUGAGCCAUUUGAAGUCCAUUACCCUUAUUUUGUUAUUUGCAAUUUAAAGGAAGAGUGGAAGACUUAUCAUUUUUAUGAUCUCUUUCACUUGAAUUAACUUCCACUUUAAGAUUCUCAACCAUUUCCUUCAAAAGAAUUUGAAUUAAAUCUAAAAUAGCUACUUUCUGUGUAAUUUCCUCCACUUCAUGAAAGAAAAAACAGUCCCUGACACAUUCAGAGAAUUGAAUAGACAAUCUGUGUCCUGCUUUCUCAGCAGCUCCCGGUUAUACUACCAUCUCACCACUAGGUCCUGCCAUUUAGGUAUUUCUAGUUUCUGUCCCUUGGAUGUUUCCAAUAGUCGCUAUAUUGAAAAUCUUUGGCUUAAACCCAUCUUUAAGAGCAUUUAUUUCUUUUUCUCUCACAUAAUUUAACUGUUGUUCAGCAAAUCUUUCUGACACUUUUUUCCUUUUCAAGCCACAGCACGUGACUUCUCCUAUGCUUGUUCUUCUAGAUCGUGCUAUGCUAUUCUCUAACAGUGUUCAAGUAUUGCUGUUUUGCCACAUAGCUGUACCACUGUUUGGACCAUGCUGGUGUACCAAUACCAUAAUAUCUAGCUACUUAGAUCUCAUCCUGCAGUGUAUGUUGUCCUGUUUUUCAAACGCUUGAUGUACUACUUCAUGUUCUCCCUUUCUUCUUGAUAUGCUUGCCCACGUUCUGUGCAGCCAGACAUCACCUCUGGCAUGGUCUGUCACUGUUUCAAGCUGCAGAUAUGGAAUGUAUUACUUUAUAUCUUCAGGAAAAUUAAUGUCUUAAGCUAAUUAAAUAACUGCUGCUGUGCUUGUCAAAAUAUUAUAUUUAUACAUGAGAAUUAUUCCUUCAAAUUACUGAAAAUAAUUUCCUUGAAUUAAUGCAAUAUGCCAAUUAGAUUCCUGGCAUAUAUUGCAUGUUUCAACAUUAAUACUUAGGGAAAAAAAUUAAUCUGCUCCAUUCUUUUUUUGACAUCUGCACGGAAGACAAGGCAAGGGUCAAUGCAUGCACAGCCUCCCAUUUCUCCCAGUUUUAUGCAAAGGGCAAAAAAUGAGCGCUGUUUUAUUCCAGUUUUCCAUUAUGCCUAGUGCAAUCAUUGGCUCAUUAUUCCUUGUUGCAGCCUACCCGAUGCACUUGUGUUUGCAUUCUCUGGAAGUAUCACUUUCCAAAGUUUAAUAGCUCAACUGCUCAAGUAUUAGCUGAGCUGAGCAUGCAGAGAAGUGUAGAUAUUUUUACACUUCAUUACAUAAAAGAGAACCAGGAAGAAAAUUCAGCAGGCUCCAAAUGCAGGAACGAAAAAUGCAAUUUUUUGGCAAAAACAAAACAAAAAGUUAAAAAUAGAAAAAAUAAGCAUUCCAGAGGUUACUACGGCAGCCAUUUUAGUUUAACCCUUUUUUGUUUUUAAGAGAAAGUAAUAAUCCAACAUGAGAUCAUAUUGAAAUGGAAUCAUUAAGAUGAGGCACUAUCAUUCCAAAGGAGCUGAAACGUGAUAUGAAUACAAGAUGAAAAGUUUUAAAAUCAGAAUCCUUACUGUACUGCUGAUUUAACAGUUACCCAAAAUUUUCCCAGCUUUUUUCAAAUGGAUGAAAUUUUCCAGCCUGGAAGUAUGGGCUGAGAUGUCGUGCUUUAGCAGCCUUGGAGGUAAUUAGUGUAGUACAUACAAAACCCUUGGGCAAAAUAUAAUGUGAUGAGGAAAAACUAGAAGGCCAUUAAUAAUAGUAAACACAGUCUUCCUAAGCCUGGCAAAUAAAAAAUAGCGGAUAAGAGAAAACUGGAGCAAACAGUUCAUUUUUCUUUUCAAACUCUUUCAGUAAGGCUCUUUCUGACAUCAUUCAGUGAACAAGCCUGAUCCGGAAAAACACAGAAAACUGUGCUAAAAUCUGAAGGAGGAGUGUAAAUCCCAGUGAAGGCAUUUGAAUUUCAUUACCAUAGAAUAUAUUUUUUCAGCAUUUUGCUGAAACAUAUGAAUAAAAGGAACAAAUACAUAAAUAAGGGCAGCAGUAUCAUCAAUCCUAAAGAUCACUUCCUGAUUUAGGAAAGAAUGAGAGAAAAUAACUAAAAGGAAAUGUUUUCUCAGCUAGAAAAAUUCUAACAGCUAUGUCCCUUUGGGAUCGUUAGGAGUAUUGGAUAAAUUCAGUACACCUACUAAUGAUGUGUAAGAAAGGUUGGAUUGUGAAAUGCAGCUUUGCUGACAAGGAGAAACGCUUGAGAGUAGUCAAGAUUAAGCAGGAUUGUGGGAAAAUCCAGAAAGAAUAGCAGUGAAAAUGAAGUGCAGCAGCAGAGAUAUAGAAAAAUACUCAGCCUUCUUUCACUUGCAAUGGAAAAUGUGUUUUCCUGAUAAUUUGUAAUAUAUUACAGGAUGUAUCAAAGUUUCAGUGUGGCAUGAAAUUACAUCUCUUUCAGAGGAAAGUGUAAGCCAGACAUCUAAAACCUUUUCUAAAAAAAAAUCAAAGGACUGUAGUAAGAGUCAAGAUCAAUGUCAACGGAGGAGAAUCAUAUUAAACUGUAAUGAAAUGCCAAUUUCUUAACCUUUUAAUCUUCCUACUCUCUAAACCUUUACAUUAUCACUUUUCAGAACUGGUCUUUUAACACUGCGUAAGUACGCAUGGCAUUGUGACAGUGGAUAGAGACUGGAACACCAUAAUAAUGUUGCCUUGUGUGAUCCAGCAAAAAAAUGUUGCCUAUGAACCAUAACUUCCAAAACAGUUUCACUGAGCCGAUGGAUGGACGGAUGUUCACAUAAGAGAUACUUGAGGAAAUAUUCAGGAUAGAAGUAUCCUCACAGCUUCUUGGCUGGAAAAAAAUAAGAUGUUCAAACCUCAUUUCUGUGAGACUUAGUCCUAAAAACAUGAAAGCCUGAGAGAUGCUUAUCAAUCACAAAGAGUGUAGCUUGAAUUUGACACUAAAAUAUAACCAAGUAACCAAGUUGCCAUCUGCUC